UUGUCGAGCUGACGUCAAAAAUGGAAACCCUAGCUCCACUUCUCCUUCUCUUGCUCUUCGUCUCCGCCUCGGCGGCACCGAUCGGCAGUGCUCCGAGAUUUCUCGGCCCCUACGCUCGUCGGAAGUCUAGCGGAGUCGCUUCCCCGGCGUCGUACGAGUACGACGUUAGGUAUUUUGGGCAGACUCUGGAUCACUUCAGCUUCGCUGACCUGCCGGGAUUUCAGCAGCGGUAUCUCGUCGGACGGAACGAUUUGUGGUCGAGGAACGGGCCGAUCUUCUUCUACUGCGGUAAUGAGGGUGAUAUUGAGUGGUUCGCGGAGAAUACUGGGUUUGUUUGGGAGAUCGCGCCUCGCUUUGGUGCUCUCGUCGUGUUCGCCGAGCACCGCUACUAUGGAAAGUCCAUGCCUUUUGGAAGCCGAGAAAGUGCUUAUAAGGAUGCAAAGUCAUUGGCAUACCUUACAGCUGAGCAAGCACUUGCUGACUUUGCCACAUUGCUAACUGAUUUUAAACACAACCUGUCAUCUGAGGGCUCCCCUGUUGUGCUAUUUGGAGGUUCUUAUGGUGGAAAAGUGCUAGCUGCAUGGAUGAGGCUGAAGUACCCACAUGUGGCCAUUGGUGCACUUGCAUCCUCAGCACCCAUUCUACAAUUUGAAGAUAUUGUCCCUCUGGAAACAUUUUAUGAUAUCGUCUCUAAUGACUUUAAACGGGAAAGUUUGAGCUGCUUUGAAUUCAUUAAAGAGUCAUGGGAUGCAUUGGAAACCUGUGGGCAGGGGAAUGAUGGUCUUAGGAAUCUGAGCAAGGAUUUCCACCUGUGCCGAAAGUUGAAUAGUGUAGGAGAACUUUCAGACUGGAUUAACUCUGCGUAUAGCUACUUGGCAAUGGUGGAUUACCCACUCCCUUCAAGCUUUUUAAUGCCUUUGCCUGCAAAUCCGAUAAAGGAGGUGUGCCGAAAGAUUGACAGCCAUCCUAAUGGGACAGAUAUCUUGGUCCGCAUAUUAGCUGGGAUAAACGUCUAUUAUAACUACACAGGAACAGUUGAUUGCUUUGAUUUAGAAGACGAUCCUCAUGGCAUGAAUGGCUGGGAUUGGCAGGCAUGUACAGAGAUGGUUAUGCCAAUGUCCAGCAGCAGAGAUAAAAGCAUGUUCCCAACUUAUGAUUUUGACUAUGCUUCCUAUGAAGAUCAAUGUGUUCAGAGCUAUGGUGUGAGGCCAAGGCCUCGGUGGAUCACAACUGAGUUUGGAGGUCAUGAUAUAAGGACUGUAUUGAAGAAAUUCGGUAGUAACAUAAUAUUCUCAAAUGGGCUUUUGGAUCCUUGGAGUGGUGGGAGUGUCCUGCACAACAUUUCUGAUAGCAUCAUUGCACUUGCCACGGAAUUAGGAGGGCAUCACCUAGAUUUGCGUCCAUCAACUAAUGAAGAUCCUGAUUGGUUAGUUGGACAGAGGAAAACGGAGAUAAAUAUCAUAAGAAGUUGGCUGAAUGAUUAUUAUGAGGGGAGGAAGACCUCUUUCCUAACGCAGUUGUAUUAAUUUAAAUAAAUCCCUGCUGAACUGAAUGUUCUUUUUCCUGACUUGCUUUCAGCAUAAUCUCACUGGUUGUACAUAAGUGCAUGAGUGAUAUACCUUGCCAUGAAUGGCACACGUGAGCACGCGGUCACUAUGUAAAUAGGGUGGUAGCAGCUUCAUUGACAUGAAUUCAAUUGCUUAAUGUAAACCUACAAAGAGAAAGCUCUCCCAGUAUAAAAGCCUUACAGUAUUUUGCCGAGUGCUUUCUUCUCCGCAGGAUUUUCACUGGAUGAGUAUAAAAGCCUUACAGUAUUUUGCCGAGUGCUUUCUUCUCCGCAGGAUUUUCACUGGAUGAGAUUUCCUUGUCAGGGCCCACUGAAGUUUGAAGGAGUCCAAAGAAAGACAAUGUCAUACAGGUCUGCCAUGUCAUUUACGUUUGUUUAGACUGCUGGCUUUGACCGGCAAACCUGCAUUGAAGACCUUGAUUUAUAUAAAUAUAUAUUUAUACAGACAAGGAGAUUAAUAUUGUGU